rnacentral:tRNA from 1 species
GCCGGAGUGGUGGAAUCGGUAGACACAAGGGACUUAAAAUCCCUCGGCUGUAUAAGCCGUGACAGUUCAAGUCUGUUCUCCGGCA